rnacentral:rRNA from 1 species
AGCAGCCGCGGUAAUUCCAGCUCCAAUAGCGUAUAUUAAAGUUGUUGCAGUUAAAAGCUCGUAGUUGAAUUUCGGGGUUAGUAGGUUGGUCGUGCCACUGGUAUGUACUGGUUCUACUGAUCCCUCCUUCUUGUAGAACCGUAAUGCCAUUCACUUGGUGUUGCGGGGAAACAGGACUGUUACUUUGAAAAAAUUAGAGUGUUUAAAGCAGGCUAACGCUUGAAUACAUUAGCAUGGAAUAAUGAAAUAGGACGUUCGAUCCUAUUUUGUUGGUUUCUAGGAUUGACGUAAUGAUUAAUAGGGAUAGUUGGGGGCAUUAGUAUUCAAUUGUCAGAGGUGAAAUUCUUGGAUUUAUUGAAGACUAACUACUGCGAAAGCAUUUGCCAAGGAUGUUUUCAUUAAUCAAGAACGAAAGUUAGGGGAUCGAAGACGAUCAGAUACCGUCGUAGUCUUAACCAUAAACUAUGCCGACUAGGGAUCGGAUGAUGUUAAUUUUUAAUGACUCAUUCGGCGCCUUACG